GAUUUCUGGCUUGAAACAUUUUGCCGGCCACGGUUUCGUGUGUUAGUGCUUGAUGUUCUGGCCAUCCUUCCAAUCGCUAUUGGCUUUUCUUCAUUGAGAGGUCAGUGGUAUUGGAUCUUUUACUUUGAAAAAAUUAGAGUGUUUCAAGCAGGCUUUAUGCUAUGAAUACAUUAGCAUGGAAUAAUAAUUUAGGACUUCGGUUCUAUUUUGUUGGUUUCUAGGACUGAAGUAAUGAUUGAUAGGGAUAGUUGGGGGUGCUAGUAUUCAGCGGCCAGAGGUGAAAUUCUUGGAUUCGCUGAAGACUAACUUAUGCGAAAGCAUU
rnacentral:rRNA from 1 species